GGGAAGGGAAUAAUGUCAAUGACCAAUACUGUGUCAUUGUUAAAUUAAAAGAAAAUUAUCAGACAGUUUUUUGAGAAAAUUGCCUUUAAGUGCUCAAAAUGGCUAUUUUCAGCAUAAAAAUGGCCGCCAUUCCCAAAUGAACGAAUCUACGAAUAUGAUUUUUAGACAGGAAUAAUGUCAAUGACCCAUAUUACGCUCUUGCCAAAUUAGACAAAAAGUUC